UGGGGAUAUAGCUCAGUGGUAGAGCAUUAGCCUCACAUGUACUGGGUCCUGGGUCCAAUCCCCAAUACUAG
rnacentral:tRNA from 1 species